rnacentral:lncRNA from 1 species
GCUCAAAGCAUUGCUUUAGUCAUAGAAGGUUUUCUCCACUUGGUUACAGGACACAACCUCGGAAGAUCAGGCAAUAUUUUGUAGUAAUCCUACUAAAAAGUAGGAUUGAUUAACAUGGCAUAAAACAGCAGGAAAGGUUCCUGCCUCCAGAAUAACUAUGCAACAUGUUUCCUGUCUUUGGUACAAAAUGACUCAGCAAGCCAUUCAUGGCACUUCCUUUCAUUAAAAGGCUGAGAAACUGAGGAAGCCAGCACGCUGAUGUACAAAUAUAUCACAAACAUGCCGCAAGUAGACCUAUAAGAGCUGCAGAU